ACGAUGACUCCUCACCUGUUGUGAUGUGGCGGGAGCUCACCAGCAGGUGUCGCUGUGGUACAACGUGCUCUGGAGGUUUCAGUGAUCUGAGCCGCACUGGACCACAUGAGAGGAGAAGUAUCCCGGGUUGUUUGACGACGUCCACAAAGGAAGGACGAGGCAUGUGUGUGUGUGUGUGUGUGUGUGUGUGUGCAGAGAGCAUGGUGGUCCAACGCCCCCCCCCCUCACCUCGGCUGUGUGUACCGUCUGUCCUGUCGUCCUUUCAGAUUCACCACCAGGUAAAUACACACUGUCCGACCCCAAACAGUGACCCUGCAGGAGGAAGAGGAGGAGGAGGAGGAAGAGGAGGAAGUGGAGGAGGAGGAACCAGACAGUCUCCUCUCUCUCUCUUCUUUUUGACUCCUGUCCAUAAUCCUCAAGGUUUUUCAUGAAAUCAAAUAUUCAGGUAUUCUUUUUCAUUUUCAGUCUUGGAAUUGUACGGUUACCAACAUGUCACAGCAACAAAAACAUAUCAACUCUUUGUGUUUUUCUUAUUUAAUUUUCAAUAAUCUAUAACUGAAACAUUACAUUCUAAAAUUGUGCUUUGAGUUCAACGCCCUAUUGUAUGUCACAUUAGAUUAGAUGAGAUAAUAUAUGAUAAGCUAUGAAGAGAUGAGAUAUGAUAAUAGAAGAUGAGACAAAAAAAAGUAUUGAUUCAUGAGUAUGAGUGUGUAUGAAUAUCAACUAAUGAUGUCCUGCAUAUUGUUUCUGCUGAUAUUGUUUUGUUGUUUCCAGAUGAUGGUGGUCUUUAUAUUUACAACAAAGUGUUAGGGUCAUUUGUUACUUUUAUUCAUUUUUAAAAAUAAAAUCUGUAAUCUGUAAAGAAUAAUAAUAAAGGCCUGAGAUCAAUUAUUUUCAAAGAAGUACAAUAUUACAAAAUCCAAAGAAGAAGUUUAAUGUAGCAUAAAAAUAGUA